rnacentral:misc_RNA from 1 species
UCCCCACCUCUUUACAGUAUGGAGUAUGCUCUGAUCACUUCAACAAUUGGUGCUCGACACAAUGGGCACUUUCCUCCUCCGCGAACUAAUUCGUUUGCACAUUUAGAGCAAGUGCACAUGUGACCACAUCUGUACAAUAAUGAAUCAAUAUGGCUGUCACAACAAACGCAACAUGUGCCUUUCCUUACAUGACCCCACUUCGAUCCAUCCUCGGAUGUCUCAGCACUCAACCCUUUUUCACCAGCUGAUCGAUUCAGAGCUGCAGACACUUCCUGUCUAACAGAAC